AGUGUACGCUGGCGGUAGGCCAACACAUGCAAGUCGAACGAGUGGCGGACGGGUGAGGAAUACAUCGGAAUCUACUCUGUCGUGGGGGAUAACGUAGGGAAACUUAGCUAUACCGCAUACGAUUGAAUGAGCCGAUGUCGGAUUAGCUAGUUGGCGGGGUAAAGGCCCACCAAGGCGACGAUCCGUAGCUGGUCUGAGAGGAUGAUCAGCCACACUGGAACUGAGACACGGCCCAGACUCCUACGGGAGGCAGCAGUGGGGAAUUUUGGACAAUGGGGGAAACCCUGAUCCAGCCAUCCCGCGUGUGCGAUGAAGGCUUCGGGUUGUAAAGCACUUUUGGCAGGAAAGCGGUACCUGCAGAAUAAGCACCGGCUAACUACGUGCCAGCAGCCGCGGUAAUACGUAGGGUGCAAGCGUUAAUCGGAAUUACUGGGCGUAAAGCGUGCGCAGGCGGUUCGGAAAGAAAGAUGUGAAAUCCCAGAGCUUAACUUUGGAACUGCAUUUUUAACUACCGGGCUAGAGUGUGUCAGAGGGAGGUGGAAUUCCGCGUGUAGCAGUGAAAUGCGUAGAUAUGCGGAGGA
rnacentral:rRNA from 1 species